rnacentral:rRNA from 1 species
UAGGGAAUAUUGGUAAUGGGCGAAAGCCUGAACCAGCAACGCCGCGUGUGCGAUGAAGGCCUUCGGGUCGUAAAGCACUUUUUGGAGGGAUGAGGAAGGACAGUACCUCCAGAAUAAGCCUCGGCUAACUACGUGCCAGCAGCCGCGGUAACACGUAGGAGGCAAGCGUUAUUCGAAUUUACUGGGCGUAAAGCGCGUGCAGGCGGUUCGGAAAGUUGGAUGUGAAAGCUCCUGGCUUAACUGGGAGAGGUCGUUCAAUACUUCCGGACUUGAGAGUGGGAGAGGGAGGUGGAAUUCCGGGUGUAGUGGUGAAAUGCGUAGAUAUCCGGAGGAACACCAGUGGCGAAAGCGGCCUCCUGGCCCAUUUCUGACGCUCAGACGCGAAAGCUAGGGUAGCAAA